UGGGGGAAUAUUGCACAAUGGGCGAAAGCCUGAUGCAGCAACGCCGCGUGAGGGACGACGGCCUUCGGGUUGUAAACCUCUUUUAGCAAGGAAGAAGCGAAAGUGACGGUACUUGCAGAAAAAGCGCCGGCUAACUACGUGCCAGCAGCCGCGGUAAUACGUAGGGCGCAAGCGUUAUCCGGAAUUAUUGGGCGUAAAGAGCUCGUAGGCGGUUUGUCGCGUCUGCUGUGAAAACCCGAGGCUCAACCUCGGGCCUGCAGUGGGUACGGGCAGACUAGAGUGCGGUAGGGGAGAUUGGAACUCCCGGUGUAGCGGUGGAAUGCGCAGAUAUCAGGAAGAACACCGAUGGCGAAGGCAGAUCUCUGGGCCGUAACUGACGCUGAGGAGCGAAAAGGGUGGGGGAGCAAAACAGGGCUUAGAUACCCCUGGUAGUCCACCCCGUAAACGUUGGGAACUAGUUGUGGGGUCCAUUCCACGGAUUCCGUGACGCAGCUAACGCAUUAAGUUCCCCGCCUGGGGGAGUACGGCCGCAAGGCUAAAACUUAAAGGAAUUGACGGGGUCAUAGCUGUUU
rnacentral:rRNA from 1 species